rnacentral:rRNA from 2 species
CUCCGACCUCAGAUCAGACGAGAGUACCCGCUGAAUUUAAGCAUAUCACUAAGCGGAGGAAAAGAAACUAACUAGGAUUCCCCUAGUAAUGGCGAAUGAAGCGGGAAGAGCCCAGCACCGAAUCCCGCAGCCUUGCGCUGCAGGGAACUGUGGUGUUUAGGACGCCUAUUGCUGCAGCGUUCGGGUGCCCAGGUCCUCCUGAUCGGGGCCUCUCCCAGAGUGUGUGUCAGGCCUUUACUGGCACCCGACGCAGUGGCUCUGAACGUCCUUGGAGUCGGGUUGUUUGAGAAUGCAGCCCAAAGCGGGUGGUAAACUCCAUCUAAGGCUAAAUACCGACACGAGUCCGAUAGCGGACAAGUACCGUGAGGGAAAGUUGAAAA